GAUGAACGCUGGCGGCGUGCCUAAUACAUGCAAGUAGAACGCUGAAGGAGGAGCUUGCUCUUCUGGAUGAGUUGCGAACGGGUGAGUAACGCGUAGGUAACCUGCCUGGUAGCGGGGGAUAACUAGUGGAAACGAUAGCUAAUACCGCAUGACAACAGUUGAUGCAUGAUAACUGUUUAAAAGGGGCAACUGCUCCACUACCAGAUGGACCUGCGUUGUAUUAGCUAGUUGGUGAGGUAACGGCUCAACAAGGCGACGAUACAGAGCCGACCCGAGAAGGGGGACGGCCACACUGGGACUGGGACAAGGCCCAGACUCCUACGGGAGGCAGCAGCAGGGAAUCUUCGGCAAUGGACGGAAGGCUGACCGAGCAAAGCCGCGGGAGUGGAUGAGGGUUUCGGGUCGUAAAACUCCGUUGUAAGAGAAGAACGAGUGUGGGGGUAGAAAGUUCACACUGUGACGGUAUCUUAACAGAAAGCGACGGCUAACUACGUG
rnacentral:rRNA from 1 species